UAAUUAUGAUAUAGUCGGGAUGUCUUAAUUUUAGAGUCUGAGGCUAACGCUAGUUUGCACAAUCCACACAGAGUCUUGAAAAACUGCAACAAUAUAAAAUGGAAACAACAUUGAUUUGCUGCAUGAGCUAAACAAACAAAAUACGAACAUACAAUGAAAAAAUAGACAAUUCCAAUCCAAUCCCAAAUGAAGACACGCACAAAACAUAAUCCCAAACAAAGACAUGCACAAAUCAACUCAGAACACAAUUCUACUAUUCCACACCGAAUUAAAAAUUGUACGAGAUUCUUCUGGAUGCAAGCUUUACUU
rnacentral:lncRNA from 1 species